rnacentral:lncRNA from 10 species
UGUCCGUUUUGGUUUCUCACCGUGGAAGCUUUGUUCUUUUGGUCUUUUGUAAUAGGUCUUGCUGUUGCUCAGUGUUUGGGUCUACAUUACUUUUGGAGCUGUGGCACUCCGCGUGAAGGCUUGCAGCUUCACCCUUGAAGCCAGUGAGACCAUGAACCCACCAGGAGGAGUGAAGGCUGUCUUGUCUUAAGUAGUCCUACCGGCUGUAACGGUUGUUGUGAAAGUCUGUAUCCUCACUCGUGAGCCAGCAAGACCAUGAAUCAACUAGGAGGAAGAAACUCCGAACAUAUGCGAACAUCAGGAGGAACAAACUCUGGAUACGCUGCUUUUAAAAGUUGUAAUGCUCACUGAGCAGGUUUGCGGCUUCAUUCUUGAAGUCAGUGAGACCAAGAACCCACCAAUUCUGGACACAAAAUCUGUUUGCCUGUUUAGAGGCAUACUACGGGGUUACAUUAGAAGCCCACCGAGAUAAUCCAAUACAAUCUUCUGAUCUCAAAAUCCUUCACUUAAUGACAUCUUUGGCAACUUGAAAUAAUAAUCACAGGUGUCUGACUUUUAAGGUGAGAGAACUAAGUUGUGUGACUCCAAAAGAGCAGAAACCAGGAACUGGAGAAUGGAGGACCAAAGAUCAGAGAACAAACGGUUGUAAAUCUCUCACUCCAGCAUGGCCCACCGUAUACCUGGAGGAAAGGAAUGUCCCUAUCUGAAGACACAGAGACACCAAGAAGAAUCCGAACAGGACUUGCUAAGUUCCCUCCUGUUUAUAACCAUUAGCUAAUACCCUUUUACCCAAUCAUACUUCUGCAUGACUGUUCAUGAACAUACACAGUUUUCCCUGUUUCUUUGGAUCUUAAUUUCUGAAGGUUCCCGGGUCACAUAAAGCUUGUUUUGUUCUCUUUUGUUUGAGACAAGGUCUCACUCUGUCAGCCAGGCUGGAGUGCAGUGGUAUGAGCAUGGUUCGCUGCAGCUUUGACCUCCUCCCACUGGGGAUCUUCCCAAGCAAUCCUCCCACCUUAGCCUCCCAAGUAGCUGGAGCUACGGGUGCAUGCCACCACACCAAGCUCAUUUUUAAACUUUUUGUAGAGAUGGGGGUCUCGCUAUGUUGCUCAGGCUAGUCUUGAACUCCUGGGCUCAGGCAAUCAUCCUACCUCAGCCUCUAAAAGUGCUGGGAUUACAGGUGUGAGCCACUGCGCCCAGCCCCUGUCACAUAAAACUUACUUCAAAUAAAUUUGUUAAACUCUUC